rnacentral:rRNA from 1 species
CCUACGGGGGGCAGCAGUCGAGAAUCUUCGGCAAUGGGCGAAAGCCUGACCGAGCGACGCCGCGUGCGGGAUGAAGGCCUUCGGGUUGUAAACCGCUGUCAGUGGGGAGGAAAUGCUGGAGGGUUCUCCCUUCAGUUUGACCUAUCCGCAGAGGAAGUACGGGCUAAGUUCGUGCCAGCAGCCGCGGUAACACGAACCGUACGAACGUUAUUCGGUAUCACUGGGCUUGACGGCCUGGUAAGUGGGCUGUGAAAUCCCUCGGCUUAACCGAGGAAGUGCGCUCAAAACUGCCAGGCUAGAGGAAGUCAGAGGUGAGUGGAACUUAGGGUGGAGCGGUGAAAUGCGUUGAUAUCCUAAGGAACACCAGUGGCGAAAGCGACUCACUGGGGCUUUUCUGACGCUGAGGCACGAAAGCUAGGGGAGCGAACGGGAUUAGAUACCCGUGUAGUC